GACGAACGCUGGCGGCGUGCUUAACACAUGCAAGUCGAACGGUGAAGCCCUUCGGGGUGGAUCAGUGGCGAACGGGUGAGUAACACGUGGGAAAUCUGCCCUGCACUCUGGGACAAGCCUUGGAAACGAGGUCUAAUACCGGAUAUGACCUUCUCCUGCAUGGGGGUUGGUGGAAAGCUCCGGCGGUGCAGGAUGAUCCCGCGGCCUAUCAGCUUGUUGGUGGGGUAAUGGCCUACCAAGGCGACGACGGGUAGCCGGCCUGAGAGGGAGACCGGCCACACUGGGACUGAGACACGGCCCAGACUCCUACGGGAGGCAGCAGUGGGGAAUAUUGCACAAUGGGCGAAAGCCUGAUGCAGCGACGCCGCGUGAGGGAUGACGGCCUUCGGGUUGUAAACCUCUUUCAGCAGGGAAGAAGCGCAAGUGACGGUACCUGCAGAAGAAGCACCGGCUAACUACGUGCCAGCCGCCGCCGUAAGAC
rnacentral:rRNA from 1 species